GAACGUGAUGAUAUGACUGUCGCCCCAGUCUUACUCGCAUCUCUCGAUGCGAGGUGGUGAUCGACAUGUACGAAUCUGAUUC